rnacentral:lncRNA from 1 species
AUUGUUAUAAAGCUUGAAAAAAAAAAUUGGUCUAUUUAAAAGUAAAACAAUAUUUUAAAAUAAUUUUUGUUUGCAAUGCAAAAAUCAAUAUAAAUCUUGUGACGCGCGGUGUUCAACUUUAGUCAGCGCCAGGCGCUUACCGAGGAGGGACGUAUCGCUCGCUGUUGCGCCGCGUAAACUCGCCGGAGUUCGAAAAAUAUAGCGCAACCUACGCAUCUAACACGUUUUGAUACUAGAUAAUGAAAGCAUAUUUAAUUCAGACUAUCAGACUCAAUUGAAUACCAGUACAAAUAAUAUGGAAAAUGAAGAUACAAUACAUGGAAGACGAAUUAUAGAUUUUAGUUUUUUUAUAAAUCAAUUACUUAUAAUUGAUAAACAUGGUGAAAAGUUUGGUUGUCGAUUAAAUAAUUUAAAAAUUGUAAACGAUUACUUGUUUAUUGUAACUCAAUCGAGCUAUUCUAGGUUAUAAAAUUCAUCGGUACAAAUAAU